rnacentral:ncRNA from 1 species
CCCGCUGAGUUUAAGCAUAUCAAUAAGCGGAGGAAAAGAAACUUACCAGGAUUCCCCUAGUAACGGCGAGCGAACCGGGAAAAGCCCAGCUUGAGAAUCGGGCGCCACCGGCGUUCGAAUUGUAGUCUGGAGAAGCGUCCUCAGCGGCGGACCGGGCCCAAGUCCCCUGGAAAGGGGCGCCGGAGAGGGUGAGAGCCCCGUCGUGCCCGGACCCUGUCGCACCAUGAGGUGCUGUCUACGAGUCGGGUUGUUUGGGAAUGCAGCCCUAAUCGGGCGGUAAAUUCCGUCCAAGGCUAAAUACGGGCGAGAGACCGAUAGCGAACAAGUACCGCGAGG